rnacentral:misc_RNA from 1 species
AUGCCCUGCAAGGACCGUACUAGCC